CUCUUCUGUGAAUGCAGGCUCAGGGACCAGACCACUUUGAUUUUAAUCCCAGAUAUGCUACUUUCUAGCCGAGACUUUGGGCAAGAAAUUCUCUCUAUGCCUCCCCUUAUAUGUAAAAUCAAGAUAGUAACAGUACCUACUUAGAAUAUGGUUGUGAGAAUUAAAUGGAAUAAUACAAGUGACUUAAUUGUCAGAGCGAUGAGCACAUCAGAGGUCCUCAAUGGAGACUACCUGCUUUAAUGAAGAUAUGUCCUAUGGAAGGCCCUUAGCUAUUAGUGUAUUAUGGUCACUGAACCAGUACUCUGCAGGAUUUCCAGCUUCUGUUAAAGGGUAAUGACCUUUCCUCAUGCAUCUGCUUUUUCAAAAUGAACAAAAGUGCUGUUCUUAGAUAAGCAUUUGUGAUUUUAUCUUUUUAUGGAGACUUUGGAAAGAUUUGCUCUGAUUUCCAACCUCGAAUACUCUUGGAAAAUAUCUGUAUUAUUUUUACUCUAUUGGAUUUUAAUGUGUGUUUUAGAAAACAACAUCUGCAGAUAGAUGGUGUUGCACAACAAUGUGAAUAUCCUUAAUACCACAAAACUGCACUUAAAAAUGGUUACAAUGGUAACUUUUAUGUUAUGUGUGUUUUACAGCAAUUAAAAAAUAAGACAAUAACAGAACUGUGGUUUGUAUUAAAGAUCUAGUAACUCUAAUUAAAGAAAAAGGAAAGGAAGAAAAUGGUCUCUAAAUGUUUAUAGGCCCUACUAGCAUCUCUGUAGCUAAUCUGGUUUGUUUAUAGAGUACUAGAGUCUUACUCAAAAUUAUAAGCUUUGUUUAUAAACCCAAGCUCACUGAGACAGACUGAUGAGGCUGCUGAAGUUACCAUUAAAGCUACAGGAACUUUUAAGAAAGUUUUUGAAGACACACUGUGUCUGAAGGGACCAUGAAAAGUUAAUGAUCAUACUUGCCUGUGUUACCAGAUGUCUUAGUCUGUUUUGUGUGGCUGUAACAGAAUGUGACAAACUUGGUAAUUUAUAAUAUAAAGAACAGAAAUUACUUUUCUCACAGUUCUGGAGGCCAAGAAGCCCAAGAUCAAGGUGCUGGCAGGCUUGGUGUCUGGUAAGGGCCUGGAGUGCUUAAGAGGGAUUUCUUCCAGCUCUCUUGCCCUGGUCUUCAGUGUAUUAGAUGUAUUACCUCCAUGCUCUCAGUAGAGGCCCAUAGGAAAGAGUAGGUAGGUUAUGCCAGCUCACACGCAUCCUUUAAAAAUGGUUUAGAAGUUUAGCUGGUUUCUUAUUACUCCUGUCUAUGGAUGUUUCCUUCUGUCACUCUACUAGGGAUGAAACAGCUAAUCAUGUUCAAUAGUUACAUUUAGAUUGGUUUUUAAAAACUAUGAUUGUAUUAGUUCGUUUCCAUGCUGCUGAUAAAGACAUAUCUGAGACUGGAAACAAAAAG
rnacentral:lncRNA from 1 species